rnacentral:rRNA from 1 species
UACGUAGGGUGCAAGCGUUAAUCGGAAUUACUGGGCGUAAAGCGUGCGCAGGCGGUUGUGCAAGACAGAUGUGAAAUCCCCGGGCUCAACCUGGGAAUUGCAUUUGUGACUGCACAGCUGGAGUGCGGCAGAGGGGGAUGGAAUUCCGCGUGUAGCAGUGAAAUGCGUAGAUAUGCGGAGGAACACCGAUGGCGAAGGCAAUCCCCUGGGCCUGCACUGACGCUCAUGCACGAAAGCGUGGGGAGCAAACAGG